rnacentral:rRNA from 1 species
AUUGAACGCUGGCGGCAGGCUUAACACAUGCAAGUCGAGCGGGGAAGGGUAGCUUGCUACCUAACCUAGCGGCGGACGGGUGAGUAAUGCUUAGGAAUCUGCCAUUUAGUGGGGGACAACAUUCCGAAAGGAAUGCUACUACCGCAUACGUCCUAGGGGAGAAAGCAGGGGAUCUUCGGACCUUGCGCUAAAUGAUGAGCCUAAGUCGGAUUAGCUAGUUGGUGGGGUAAAGGCGUACCAAGGCGACGAUCUGUAGCGGGUCUGAGAGGAUGAUCCGCCACACUGGGACUGAGACACGGCCCAGACUCCUACGGGAGGCAGCAGUGGGGAAGAUUGGACAAUGGGCGGAAGCUUGAUCCAGCCAUGCCGCGUGUGUGAAGAAGGCCUUAUGGUUGUAAAGCACUUUAAGCGAGGAGGAGGCUACUUAGAUUAAUACUCUAGGAUAGUGGACGUUACUCGCAGAAUAAGCACCGGCUAACUCUGUGCCAGCCGCCGCCGUAA